AUUGAACGCUGGCGGCAGGCUUAACACACGCAAGUCGAGCGGAGAUGAGGUGCUUGCACCUUAUCUUAGCGGCGGACGGGUGAGUAAUGCUUAGGAAUCUGCCUAUUAGUGGGGGACAACAUUCCGAAAGGAAUGCUAAUACCGCAUACGACCUACGGGAGAAAGCAGGGGAUCUUCGGACCUUGCGCUAAUAGAUGAGCCUAAGUCGGAUUAGCUAGUUGGUGGGGUAAAGGCCUACCAAGGCGACGAUCUGUAGCGGGUCUGAGAGGAUGAUCCGCCACACUGGGACUGAGACACGGCCCAGACUCCUACGGGAGGCAGCAGUGGGGAAUAUUGGACAAUGGGGGGAACCCUGAUCCAGCCAUGCCGCGUGUGUGAAGAAGGCCUUAUGGUUGUAAAGCACUUUAAGCGAGGAGGAGGCUACUGAGACUAAUACUCUUGGAUAGUGGACGUUACUCGCAGAAUAAGCACCGGCUAACUCUGUGCCAGCCGCCGCAGUAAAAC
rnacentral:rRNA from 1 species